rnacentral:lncRNA from 1 species
UUUUCUGUCGUGCCAAAUACUGAACACCGCUCACAUCAUUUUGCAAAGCACGAAGGAGAUAUAAAAAAAAAUGGUUCUCCAUCAGCAAUACUCACCUGACAAACCAGAGACCUGCUUUUCAAUGCAGCCUUUGAGUAACCAUCCCUUAAAGAAACUGAAGUAAAUGAAAAUCAGGACACAACGCCUGCACUGAAGUCAUAGCUGCGUGAGCUGCUUUUUGCUGUGCUGAAUAUGCAAUGAAAUUAAUGAAACUUUUACAGAAAAACUCUUCAGCUUUCAGAGCCUGUGUGCCUUUUAUAGCUCGCAGCACACCAGCAGCAUGCCCUGUACUUCCCUAAGCAUUCUGCUACGCAAGGAGGAUGGAAAGGCUCAGAUAAUUGUGCAAAUUGUGCAGGGGUUUGUUACCACAGCCCUUCAGUUUCACGCACUUUGUCUAUUCCAUCUACCUCCUUCCACAAACUAACAAUCUCCAUCACCUCUUGCUUUUGCAAAUGCAGCUCGAAGCUUGCUGAAUUUCACAAUGACAGCAGAGCUGCAGCACGUCUUUUUGUUUGUUUGUCUGCACCCACCGAGUGCCAGCCACACCAACCUCUCUCAGGAGCCUGCAUGCACGGUGCUAGAAGCAAGCUGACUACUGGAGAUCGCUGGGGCAUCCCUGCUCGGCGCUGCAGCCAACCUUCCUGCAAUAUUAACCAGAAGUGAUUUAAUUUCCACACUCUGCAUGCAAAACUUGCCUGUCAUCUAACACCACACAGCUCUCAUCUGUGAGAUUAAUCUCGGUUCAAUUAAUCUCCUUUUAAUAAUGGUAUGGCUUUAAGGAACUACGAAUCAGGAGAAAUUUGGAGCCAGACCUCUGUGUGGUAGAAAACUGCCAGGCUAACAACACCCACAGUGCUGGGGAACAGCAAUCAGUGCUGGCCAUCUCCGGUUUCGGAACCCUAAAGAAAUUAACUCCUCAUUUCAUUUUUCAAUUAACCCACUACAACAAUGUGCUCUCAAAAAGUACACGUUCAUUCUGACAAAGGCCAGCACUCAAAACUGAAACACAUGGGAGAGUUCAUGAACCACAGAGCUUCUAACCUGGGUGGUAAAUAAAGGUAAUAAAAGAAAAAAAAACACCUCAAUGGCUUAGGGACUUCAGUCCUGCGCCAGAUUUUAUUUUGUUCUGAUGAAAGAGGGAGAGAGAAACAAACGCUGAAGGUUGCACAUUUAUCCAUGUCACGUCGUUUUCAAAUGCACAGUUAAAUGGAAUCUAACAGAGACAGAGAGGGACCCUCCUCUGGGAAGAUGGAUUAAAAUCAAGGAUUUGGGAGCUCACUAUUGCUGCAGCAAGAGCUCUUCUUUGGCAAGAAGAUAUUGAAGAAAAAUUUGUCUUGCGCACUGCCACUUCCACCUCUGGCUUCAUGCUCACUUUGGCCGUGUAUGUUCCUCUUUACUCGUUUAAUCUACCUGGGUGCAGCCCAGUCCUCAGCUUUUUUUCUCAGCCGUGUCACAACUCCUUUAUGCUUCGGGGUAACCUCCAGACACUCAACUCAAGCCAGCCACUGACCUAAUUCUGCUCAUCCUCAGCCAUUACUUGGGAUUCCUUGAAGCAAUACCUGCAGUCAUAGAUGAAAACUCAUUAAAACCUUAUGACAGCCUCUAGAAGCGAACACAGAUGCACUGACAGAUGAGAGGACACAAAGACUGGGUUAGUCCA